GAUGAAGAACGCAGUGAAAUGCGAUAAGUAAUGUGAAUUGCAGAAUUCAGUGUAUCAUCGAAUCUUUGAACGCACAUUGCGCCCGCCAGCAUUCUGGCGGGCAUGCCUGUUCGAGCGUCAUUUCAACCCUCGAGCCCCCCCGGGGGCCUCGGUGUUGGGGGACGGCACACCAGCCGCCCCCGAAAUGCAGUGGCGACCCCGCCGCAGCCUCCCCUGCGUAGUAGCACACACCUCGCACCGGAGCGCGGAGGCGGUCACGCCGUAAAACGCCCAACUUUCUUAGAGUUGACCUCGGAUCAGGUAGGAAUACCCGCUGAACUUAAGCAUAUCAAUAAGCGGAGGA
rnacentral:misc_RNA from 1 species